GGGGAAUAUUGCACAAUGGGGGAAACCCUGAUGCAGCGACGCCGCGUGAGUGAAGAAGUAUUUCGGUAUGUAAAGCUCUAUCAGCAGGGAAGAAAAUGACGGUACCUGACUAAGAAGCCCCGGCUAACUACGUGCCAGCAGCCGCGGUAAUACGUAGGGGGCAAGCGUUAUCCGGAUUUACUGGGUGUAAAGGGAGCGUAGGUGGCAUAUCAAGUCAGAUGUGAAAGCCCGGGGCUCAACCCCGGGAUUGCAUUUGAAACUGGUUUGCUAGAGUGCAGGAGAGGUAAGUGGAAUUCCUAGUGUAGCGGUGAAAUGCGUAGAUAUUAGGAGGAACACCAGUGGCGAAGGCGGCUUACUGGACUGUAACUGACACUGAGGCUCGAAAGCGUGGGGGGCAAAC
rnacentral:rRNA from 1 species